rnacentral:ncRNA from 1 species
AGGAGCCGUGCGAGAUGAAAGUCUCAUGCACGGUUUUGAAUGAGAGAACACAAUUACAGGUACUCUUUUCGACUCUGAC